rnacentral:rRNA from 1 species
UACGUAGGGUGCGAGCGUUAAUCGGAAUUACUGGGCGUAAAGCGUGCGCAGGCGGUUCGUUGUGUCCGAUGUGAAAGCCCCGAGCUCAACUUGGGAAUGGCAUUGGAAACUGGCGAGCUGGAGUGUGGCAGAGGGGGGUGGAAUUCCACGUGUAGCAGUGAAAUGCGUAGAGAUGUGGAGGAACACCGAUGGCGAAGGCAGCCCCCUGGGCCAACACUGACGCUCAUGCACGAAAGCGUGGGGAGCAAACAGG